UAAUCUGCGAUAAGCGCCGGUAAGGUGAUAUGAACCGUUAUAACCGGCGAUACCCGAAUGGGGAAACCCAGUGUGAUUCGUCACACUAUCAUUAACUGAAUCCAUAGGUUAAUGAGGCGAACCGGGGGAACUGAAACAUCUAAGUACCCCGAGGAAAAGAAAUCAACCGAGAUUCCCCCAGUAGCGGCGAGCGAACGGGGAGGAGCCCAGAGCCUGAAUCAGCAUGUGUGUUAGUGGAAGCGUCUGGAAAGGCGCGCGAUACAGGGUGACAGCCCCGUACACAAAAGCGCAUGUGCUGUGAGCUCGAUGAGUAGGGCGGGACACGUGGUAUCCUGUCUGAAUAUGGGGGGACCAUCCUCCAAGGCUAAAUACUCCUGACUGACCGAUAGUGAACCAGUACCGUGAGGGAAAGGCGAAAAGAACCCCGGCGAGGGGAGUGAAAAAGAACCUGAAACCGUGUACGUACAAGCAGUGGGAGCACAGGUUUACCUGUGUGACUGCGUACCUUUUGUAUAAUGGGUCAGCGACUUAUAUUCUGUAGCAAGGUUAACCGAAUAGGGGAGC
rnacentral:rRNA from 1 species